GGGCGAUUAGCUCAAAGGCCAGAGCGCCACCUUUACACGGUGGAUGUUGCAGGUUCGAGUCCUGCAUCGCCCA
rnacentral:tRNA from 1 species